rnacentral:rRNA from 1 species
GUAGGUGGCAAGCGUUGUCCGGAAUUAUUGGGCGUAAAGCGCGCGCAGGCGGUUCUUUAAGUCUGAUGUGAAAGCCCACGGGCUCAACCGUGGAGGGUCAUUGGAAACUGGAGAACUUGAGUACAGAAGAGGAAAGCGGAAUUCCACGUGUAGCGGUGAAGUGCGUAGAGAUGUGGAGGAACACCAGUGGCGAAGGCGGCUUUCUGGUCUGUAACUGACGCUGAGGCGCGAAAGCGUGGGGAGCAAACAGGAUUAGAUACCCUGGUAGUCCACGCCGUAAACGAUGAGUGCUAAGUGUUAGGGGGUUCCCGCCCCUUAGUGCUGCAGCUAACGCAUUAAGCACUCCGCCUGGGGAGUACGGCCGCAAGGCUG